rnacentral:sRNA from 1 species
GAGAGUGAGCUCGCGCCGCGGCUGGGGCGAGGCUAGGAAACCGGCGUGCGCCGGUAAACGGUUCCUCCAGAGCGACCCCCACCCAGCCCGUACUCACGUUUGUUCCCGGGCUUCUGGGGGCGCCCGGCCCGUGUCACAUCAUGUUCUGUCGCCCCUCUUUUGGGCCUCCUAAGCGCCAUCGAAAGGAAACGACUUCAGGCUUUAACUGAGUAGAGGGCAGACGCUCCUGCCGGCCUUAUAGAUGAUGAUAAUUCCGAAGAAGGCUUCCACACUAUUCAUUCAGGAAGGCAUGAAUAUGCAUUCAGCUUCGAGCUUCCACAGACACCACUCGCUACCUCAUUCGAAGGCCGACAUGGCAGUGUGCGCUAUUGGGUGAAAGCCGAAUUGCACAGGCCUUGGCUACUACCAGUAAAAUUAAAGAAGGAAUUUACAGUCUUUGAGCAUAUAGAUAUCAACACUCCUUCAUUACUGUCACCCCAAGCAGGCACAAAAGAAAAGACACUCUGUUGCUGGUUCUGUACCUCAGGCCCAAUAUCCUUAAGUGCCAAAAUUGAAAGGAAGGGC